UAAAGAGAUAAGAUGGUAUAAUGUAAGUUGUAGUUGGCCUCUAAUAGAAGCGGUAUCAACUAUGCAUUUUGGGUUUAAAAGUACAUUAAAAUAGUUAAACUAUGAAACCAGACUAGGUGUCCAACAAUAGAAAGACAGACGAGGAAAUGUGUUACACAUGCACAGUGGGGUUUUCUCAGCUAUUAAGAACUAAGUUAUGCUGCUGGAAGAAAGAUGGAAACACCUGUAGAUAAUCGUAUUAAAUAAUCUAAACCACUCUUAGAAUCUCUCUCUCUCUCUCUCUCUCUCUCUCUCUCUCUCUCUCUCUCUCUCUCUCAGGGAACACCAAGGAAGAAGGGUGGGAAUAUUGUAAGAGCUAGUGAACCAGGACAUCUCCUGUGAAAACAGUGUCUUCUACAAAUAUCAAGGAAGCUGGGCCCAUAGCAUCUCAAAUAUAUGAUCACUUAAAUAAGACUGGCCCCACUGGGAAAUCUCAAGGCUCUACACCUCUAUGAAAAGUUACAGUGACUGCAAAGAGGGAGAAUCAGUCUUGUUCCAGAGUGAGGCCCCUGACAGGUUACUCAGUCCUAAGAGGAAUACCUGGACCCACAAGUGACGAAAGACAGAAAGAAACCUCUUCCGAUGGCUUGAAGGAUGCUGAGUUGUUGCCAAGUUAUUGGACUUCCUGUCUACCCCUGUGACUCAGGGGUCAUCUAGGAGUAUGAUGUCACCCCCAGGAAGAAGUCUGGCAAGGCAGCUCUCUGGAAAUCCAGACCUCACAUUCAGACAUUUAUCAUGUCUUGGAAGGUGAAGCCUUGAAGUCAGUUGGAAAGUGAGGUAAAGCAAAGCUAGAUUCAAAGGAACCACCCAUGGAAGCACAUUGUGGAAUCCUGGAUUCCUGCCUUCCCGUGUUAACCAUCUGCUUCUCGGUCACCUAUGUGCUGCCAACAGCCCAUAAGAUAGCCCUGUUAAGUUAUCCUUCUAUCCAAAUGAGAGCGUGUAUUUCUCGGUAGAUUUUCCAUCCAUUGCUGUUUUUCUAGCUGUCUCACAUUCUUACAUUUUUAUGUUAAUGGCACUAUUUCUUCUCUCCAUCUCAUUAUUUUUAAAAUUCUAUGCUUCCUCCAGCACUCUCCUUUUAUGUCUACCUUGAGUUAGACUCAGAUCUCUUCCCAUUCAUCCCAUCUCAAUAAUCCUGCCAAAUGAGCAUCACAGACAUCAUGUUACCCUGGCACUGGUCUCUGGAGCAGUGGCUUCCUGCUGCUGCUACUGCAUCAAGGCUACCUUAAGGAUGCUGGAAUCUAUAGUGUGGAGAUGCCUAGCUUUCAACUAAAACUUUUUUUCCUUAUGCCUAAGGUUACAUCUGAGUCCCCAGGGAGAAACGUGUAAGUGGAUCCAAAGGAGUUCCAUUUUUCCUUCAUGCUAAUGCAAGGGCUCAAAGUGAGAAAAGGCAUUUGGAUAGUAUUGGAAGUUUCACUGAGAGAUGCACCUUAAUGUUUCUGGUUAUAGCAACUGGAAGUGUUCUUUCCAGAGAUCUCAUGUAAAGUGAAGUUGAAGUUCUUGCUUUAACGUCAUAGAAAAAAAUUUCAAAAUAACCCUAUUGCUGCAAUUAGUAAGAGAUUAUGUUAAUAUAGAUUUAAGCUCAGUAUUGGAGUUGGGGCUUAGGAAAAAAGACAAUACUAUAGGUCCUAGAGUGGGCACAGGCUUUUCAAUAAAGUUGCAUUUAAAUAUUAGAUACACACACACACACACACACACACACACACACACACACACACACUGUACAGGUCUACAAGAUGAUGUGAUAAAAAAAACAGAUUGAAAAAAGUAGAGAAAACCCUCUUACCCAUAGGCCAUUUGAGGCAUGUUUUGACUAUAAACAUGGUUCAUAAUUUGUUUGUGAGAUUCUCUUGAUUCAUAGCCAGCAGAGAUGAGAGGUUUCUUUUUCAAAUCACCAUACCAUAAAUUUCCUUAUGUUUCUAAACUGGCUUAAUAUCAUAACAACCUCUGUAAGCAUUAUGUUUUGCCAAUAAUCACCCACUGAUUCUGGUUUUUUAUUUUUUUAUUUUCUGUGGUAAUCAGUAUGGUUAUGGUUGACCCAUCUCAGGCAGACAGUUUUUAUUCCGAUCUCUUUGGGAUUCUGCUGGCUAGGGGUGGUGGGUGGAAUCUUAGCUGGGGUGUUGGAUUGGCUGACCUCUUUUUCUCUUCAUAUCAGUCUCAGAACCUUUCCCUCUCUGCAUGGACUCUCGUAUCAUUCUGAAGGGUGGUUUCUCAACUGUGACAGCCAGACUUCUUACACAGAGGCUCAACAUCUGAAAAAAAAAAUGAAGGAAAUGGAGGCUUUCAAUCCUAAAAACUUCCCAGUAGCCAGUUGAGGGUCCGUUCUUCCGCUUCUGCAAUGUCAUCACAUCAUGUCCCAGGGGAAGUAGGAGAGGUGUCUGCAUAUCGUGGCAGAUAUGGGGGCCGUGGCCCAUUGAAGCUACCUUCAUGAUUCAUGUUCUUAUAUGAAAAAUUCCCUCACAUCUGCAAGCCUCAUGUUCUACAGAAUCAGCUGAAAGCCUAGGAUCACAAUCCAACUUGACUGAGACUCAAGUCCAAGCUUUGGAGCAGAGAUCGAGAAAGAGAAUCUUCG
rnacentral:lncRNA from 1 species